rnacentral:rRNA from 1 species
AUUGAACGCUGGCGGCAUGCCUUACACAUGCAAGUCGAACGGCAGCACGGGAGCAAUCCUGGUGGCGAGUGGCGAACGGGUGAGUAAUAUAUCGGAACGUGCCCAGUUGUGGGGAUAACGUAGCGAAAGCUACGCUAAUACCGCAUACGAUCUACGGAUGAAAGCGGGGGAUCGCAAGACCUCGCGCGAUUGGAGCGGCCGAUAUCAGAUUAGGUAGUUGGUGAGGUAAAGGCUCACCAAGCCGACGAUCUGUAGCUGGUCUGAGAGGACGACCAGCCACACUGGGACUGAGACACGGCCCAGACUCCUACGGGAGGCAGCAGUGGGGAAUUUUGGACAAUGGGCGCAAGCCUGAUCCAGCAAUGCCGCGUGCAGGAUGAAGGCCU